rnacentral:lncRNA from 1 species
AGAAUUUUCUCCCCAGUGGACUUCCCCGCACCUACUGAAUAUAUUGUUCCCCAUCCUAAUGGUAGACAGACAUGUGGUGGUCUCCUCGCCAUAUAUUAUGCUUUUGUGGGGUACCAGCCUGGGUUAUAGAAACAGCUGCACAAAUACCUUUCAUACAGAAAAUACAAAGUGCUAAAAAGAGCAAUUUUAUUCUACCAUCUUCAUAUUUUGUCUAAUAUGUCACUGUCAUGAUUUUUUUUAAUAGGAGGAUCAAGCUGAUCAUUCCUCCUUCCUGAUUUUUUCUAUCUGAAGUUCUCUAACAUAUGUAAGCAAAGAAAGAGAUCCGAGAGAAGGAGGCCUCUGCCUGGUCCAGUGGCUGGGGAUUAUUUUAGGAUACGUGGCCACCUCUGUGCUUUCUGCUACCAGCCUUUGGCUUAGAAUGCUGGUAAACCACACUCCAUCCUACCUACACUCCCUCUCAUCCUUGUAUCCUAAAGAGAGAACUUGGGUGACACAGUUGCCAUUUGGAGAGAAGAAGAAUGGAUUUCCUCGGCUGACGGUACCACUAAGCUAUAUUAAAUGGUAUGGAGGCAAUGUCGCCGAAAGGAAGCCAGUUCUAGUAUCCAGACAAGAAGGAACUGGUGUCACAAAGCCGACUGGCAACACGGCUGUGUGCCAUUUUGACGUUUGUGAACGAACAACAGAGGUGCCUCUAAUAGCUGUGCAAUAGUGCCGCGGGUUUCUGGCUUGCAGAUUCCAUUUGCACAAAGGAUGUCAGAACUGCUCUCAAGCGCCAGUUGCCUUUCAGAAGAAGGAACAACUUAACAGAUCCUGAGAUGCUAAGACUGGGUCCGAGCCAGAAAUACUAAGUGCUGAACAUUAACAUUUGGCCAGUGACCAUGAAGUCUCCUGUAUGAAGUCAUAUAUCUCUUCUUAAACGAGAGAGUGUCCUUCCCAAUCAACUUGAAAAACAACCCCAACACACCCAUUAUUUAAUGUGCUUUUGUAAAUAUCUUCUGCUGACGGAAUGUUCUGUUGUAAGGGAAACGACUACCUCUUCAUUCAUCGCUGAGAUCAGUACUAGGAAGCUAAAUAUUUGGGACAUCUCAAUCCUCACAAUUCACAAUUAAGUUAACCUUACAUCUAAAGUAAAUGAUAUAUUUUCUUUAUUAAACUGAAUGAUCACCUGCAUUCAUGAUCAAAGAAUGAAAGAUGGGCACUUUUCAUUACAGUCUAAAAUUUUUCAGUCUGGAAUGAUGACAUUCUGACUUAAAUUAUGCUUAGCCUUCUGAUGGACUUGAUGUACCAAUAUACUGGGUCUUUCAGCUGCACUAAAGACCUAGCCACUGCUUUCUAUAUCAAUGCAUUAAUCACUCAUUUAUUUAUAUCACUUAUUAGAAACC